ensembl:snRNA U1 U1 spliceosomal RNA
AUACUUGCCUGGUAGAGGAGAUAACAUGAUCACUAAGGUGGUUUUCCCAGGGCAAGGCUUAUCCAUUGAACUCUGGAUGUGCUGACCCCUGCGAUUUCCCCAAUGUGGGAAACUUGACUGAAUCAUUUGUGGUAUUGGGGGACUGCAUUCGCACUUUCCCCUA